rnacentral:lncRNA from 1 species
UGGUAUCUAGUCUCUUAUCUCACUCAAGUCUAGCCGUGUGGUAUUAUGAUUGCAGAAUAUUGAUUGAAUAGUAUUUGUCUGCAUCAAACCAUUGGAACAAAAUUGUUGAAAAGUGUAAGAUACUGUGUGAGACUCCAUGGAUAAUGAAAAUUGUUUAAUGGGUUCUUAUACAUCCAAUACAGCUGAAAACAAAAGGAAAGGAAUGACAUUUCGGUUCUUCUACAUAAAAAGUGCUUCUGAUCGCAAUACAUCAUCCUCUAUAGCAAAAUAACAAUGACAACAAAAUACGUCAAAAGCUAUUCCAUGGGAUCUUUCACUGUUUCACAAAACGGAUUUUUAUCUUCUCCAAAGAAAAGCAAUACAGGUGAAGCUAAGGUUCUGUGACCAAAACCACAUUAUAUACACAAGGAUUGGAUUCCUGCUGUUAGCUUCAUCAAAAGUAAAAGCUAUUCAGCUCUGCCUUGGUUUUUCUCGCCGUGAAAAGAUGAGCCUUACGAUAGAAUAUAGUACCGCCUUAAUGCAAGAAACCACAAAAUUCCAACAUGAGGAUGGCCAGUACCACGGAUAUAGCAGCCUGAAAAAUAGACUAAUGAGAUGCCUCGGGUAACGCCCGACCUGCAAGACAAGAGUAUCACAAUGUUACAAGCCAAGCCUACUCCAUAUUUGUGAUCUACUUCCAAGCGUUUGAGUGGAUUUGUGACUGUUUUGCUGAGCUUUGGGUCCUUCUAGAUAUAAGCGAUUUUUAAAAUUCUUAGACUGUCUUUAAAAACAGUGCACUUAUGGAUCUCGCAGUCAAAACAAUGCGUUUAAAUCUGAUUUUUUUAUACACAAAGAAAUACUCACAGGGAAAGAGGGAAUCCAAAGAAUCCCCAGGCUGCAUGACGGACAGCUCGUUGUCGGGUACAUUGGACCUCCAGGAGAUGUAAAACUAUAUAAACAUGCCUUUAACCUCGUGCUGGUGGUCAUUCUCAGUUCCAUACCUGCAGAUGUAAUUCAACACUGCUUAUACUUUGAUUCCNNNNNNNNNNNNNNNNNNNNNNNNNNNNNNNNNNNNNNNNNNNNNNNNNNNNNNNNNNNNNNNNNNNNNNNNNNNNNNNNNNNNNNNNNNNNNNNNNNNNAUUUUUUGGUAAAACACCACUUUUAAAAUUUACCCCAUUUUCAAACUUUAUCAAAAAAUACUCAAAUUUUUUAAUUUAUCCAAAUAUGUAUGUAAGCUUAUUUACACUCAAAUCUAGGUAAUGUCAUGCGCAUGCACAGAUUGUUGUAUAUUAAAUUAAUUAGUUUAAAUUUAUUUAAUAAUUAUAGAAAUAGAAUAAAUCAAUUUUAAUAUCAAUGAAAUAUUUACACUUUAUUUAUUUAAAUCAUACAGUAAGAGAAUACAUCUAUAUCUCUUGAGUUUAUUCACUGAUUUAUUGUUCAAUUUUUGUAGUAAUUUUAUUCCAGUACUUUUGAGCAUUUUUAGGUAAAACAAUAAUAUUGCUAAUGAUAAAAAUAUAAACUUACUAUGAUUUUGAAUCCCAAACGAUAAUAUUUUGUAAUAUACUAUUUAAUAUAUUUUUUUCAUAUAAACUCACACAUAACCUAAAUUAUUUAGUAAUUAAAUCUAAACUAUGUUGAAAGUAACAAAUUAUAUAUAUUUCCUAUAAAAUCAUAUGAAGUGCAAUCAAAGUUUAUUAAAAAUCAUUUUUUAUUUCCUAGGUAAUCAAAAUGUGAGAGAGACUAUAGAUUUUUCGGGGAGAUGUCUAGGUGUUGGGACUCGAUACCACCUGCCGACUGAGCUCUCAAGGAGGGACAGAGAAGCGGGAAUUAAGCCAGACCUUGAGAUUGAUGCAUUCAUGAAAUCCAUUGCCAUAUCAGAGCGCUACUUUUAUUCAAAUCAUACAAUAUAAUCAUACAGACAUAUUUCUUGAACUUGUUUUAUUAGUAAUAAAGUGUGAAUUUAAUGUAUAAAAAUGUAGAUUAAAUGUGUUUUUUGGUUUAAAUAUAAUUAAAUAUUGCAUUACCUAAUGGACCAAUAAAAUUCAAAGUUAAUAAAAUUUAUAAUGAUCAUUAUCUUAUUAAAUGUUGAAUCACGAACGUAAUAUAAUGAUUAUUAUUACAAUUUAAUUGUAUUACAAUUUUUUCAUAAUUAUAUAACAAAAAUUUAUUUUGUUAAAAAAUUACAUAAUUUUAAAAUUAAAAUAAAUAUACAUGAAUAUGUGAAAAAGAAAAAAACAUCUAAAGUUAAAGAAUGAAGAUGGUUUCUUUAGCUUGAUUUUAUUAUUGUGCAAUGGUCGGGAAUCAAAUUAUUUGAAUCCCAUCAAUAAAAUAGCUUUCUUAUAGCCAUAAAAUAUUAUUAUACAUAUGUAUUAUACAUUUAAAAAGUUAUAAAAAUGAAGAAAUACAUAUAAACAAAGAAGAAAUAAAAUUGAAAACAAAAGUUUAAACCAAAUAAUUAAUCAAACUCUUACAAUGAUAUCUUAAUUUAGUUGUCAACCCAUGCAAGAACUUUUUAAAAAACAAAGAAAAUAAUUAAGAUAUGAGAUAUGGUGGAGGAGGAUGUGAGAAUGGUUAUUUAUAGGAUAAGAAGUGAUGUAAGUUACAUUUUGAAAAUAAUUAAAUUAGAAGAGUCAUAAUUAUAAUAUAUAGUGUGUUUAAUUGAAAUUCAAUAAAGAAAAUCAAUAGUCAAUUGAAAAUUUAUAUAACUUUCAGUUACAUUUUAGUAGUAAAGUGUGAAUUUAAUGUAUAAAUUAAUGUAUAUGAUUAAAUGUGCUUUGGGAGAGAGAUUAGAUAAUGAUUGCUUCCUUCUUUUUUUAAAAUAUAUAAAUCAAUGAAUGAAUGGGGUCUGUGGAUUUAAAUCCCCUAUAUAGUAAAAGAGAAGUACAAAAAAUUUCUCGGGUCGGUUUUUGUUAAGAAAUUAACCCGAUUUACUAUUCGGAUCCUUUCCUUAAUAUUUGUUCGAAAUUAGUGAUGUUUAAUCGGACACCAAUGCUAAUAAUCUAAAAUGGGCCUCAAUUUUGGGCCUUCCACGGACAUUUACCAAACACAACGACAUGCCUUCAAUUUAGUAAAUCGUAAUAUGGAUAACUUUAAAAUAAGGUAUACUAUAUUAUGCCAUAACUGUAUUUGAAUAGUUAGAGUAUAAACGGUAUAGUAUACAAUACUAACAAUAUUAGUAUACCAACCAAAACAAGAAGUUAUGAAUCAACGUAAUAUAGUUAUUACGAUUGUUAUCAUAAAAAAAAAAAAUUAUGCCAUAACUGUAUUUUAAAUUUAGAAGCUAAUUUGUACACUCAUAUUAUAUAAGAAUUUAAAAUUUCUUAUUUUUCAAUUAUACUCAUUAUAUGUCAUGAUUCAAUUAUAUAUAUUUAAUUAUGCUUCUAUUUUUUCAUUAUUAGUCAUUUUUCAUGAUUCUUUUUAAAAUAGACGGGUCUUUGCGGGUUGGUUCGCCAUAACAAACAUUGUAAGUAUGUAAUUUUUGUAUACACGUUAUUUUAUUUUUUUAUUUAAAUAAUUUAUUCAUUUUCGAAUAGACACUUUUUCCAAAAAAAUAUUAUGUAGACCCUACAUACACAAAUGAUGAAUACACAAAAUUACACAUAUGAUAAAACACGUUAAAAAUAAAAUAAACUCGAAAACAUUCCCCCGCGCUGUAGCGCGGGUCCAAAUCUAGUUUAUUAUUAAAUGAUGAAUCACAAACUAAAUUUUAAAAAAAUGUAUUACAAACUUUUGGAAGUAAAGACAGGAGAGGAGAAAAGAGGAUAGAUUGCUGCUUGCUGAGUCAUAGUGAUGCCAUAGAUCAUUAUCCAAAAACGACGUCGUUAUAGCCUAAUUACUGGUGAUGACGUGUCGCAUUGAUAAAGACACGUGUCUCUCAUCUGCCCCUUGUUUAGUUCUAAAAGAAAAUUUACGUCAUUGUUGUUGCGGUUGAGUAGAUUCGUAAUAAGAACGAUUUAUUUUAAUAAUAAUGUAGUGGUUUUUUUUUUGUUUUUCAAAAUUUGUUAUGCAAUACGACAAUUUUAUAUCUAAUUGUAGAAAUUGGAAAGAAAAAAAAAAUUUGAUUCAUCAGAGCUACUCUUGAGAUAUCAUUAUCUGUUAUGGAUCAAGACAUCAUUGUCACUCGUGGCAAAGAGAAAAUGUAUUAAACCCAAUACCAUAAAUGGAGGGAAAAGUAAAGUUUACGCGCAAUGGAGUAAAUUUUGUAAAAAGCUGCUACUUUAUUCAAAACUUGAACCUGACGUUUUGUCUUCGUGAUACUACUGCGGACGGUACAUAUUCUUAUUGGGCCUGGUUAUGGUAUAUUGGACUCAGAAGUUUGGACAUUUUCAUUAGUAUUUUGUUACGAAUUGAAAGCCCAUGCCAAAUUAGCUUCAGCGAAGUGUCAAUGGUGGAAGAUUUGGGUUUACAGCGCACGAGUUAACACAUCUCUUCAAUUGUCAAAUUCAAAAGCAAAGUAAAAAAAAAAAAAAAAAAAAAAAAAAACAGAGUCGAAUCGAGCGGUUUCAUCAAGUUUCAGUCUGAGUUUAACUUGUUUCUUUUUCUAGGUUGAUAUGAUUUCGAUUGAUUUCACAGACAAGAUGUUAUUCCGAUUGAAGCAUCCAAUGGUUCAAGCUGCUAUUAAGGUUUGUUAUUCUCUUAUUUUUAGUUUAGACAUUGUUUUAUUUAAGAAGAAGUUGUGUGUUAUCUCAUUGUUUUUUCUUUGCUUCAACUUGAUGAAUUUUCUAAUGGGCAGCGAGGUAUUUACUUUGAAAUCAAAUACUCUGAUCUUCUCCUAAUGGAUGCACAAACAAGGAGACAAGUUAUAUCGAAUGAUAAGGUGAGAUAUUUUGAUUAAUUAGGCUCAAGUAUCACAUUGUAUAUUUGUUGUAUUUGUAAUGUGACGGUGAACUUGCUUAUACAUUGUCUUGUGAUAUGGGGUAUUUCUAGUUAGUAGUUACUGGUGGAUUGGACUAGGGGGAAGAAUCUGAUUAUAUCAAGUGGUGGCUCCUUCAGUCACAGAAAUUAGAGGUCCAAACGAUGUCAUAAAUCUCAUGUCCUUGCUUGGACUCUCUACUGAAAGAGCCAGAGCUGCCAUUUCAAUAAAUUGUAGGUAUGUAUCCCAAUUCUUCCAGCAAUUGUGUUAUGUGAUUUAGCUAAGCGUACAUUUAUGUCACUGAGGAUGGAUUUUGAAUCGCUUCCAGGAAUACGAUAGCCAAGGUUUUAAAGAAAAAACGGUUCCACAAAGAUGCUUUCAGGGUUGAAUUACUUUCUUCUGGUGAUACUUUCGUUUGAAUUUCCUCAUUUACAAACCUAACCUAACACAAGUUUGGACUAUAGGAUUCAGUCUAAUGUAACCUCAACACAUAAUGUAGGUAAGACGCAAUCUAAGAGGAGUAGAGUUAGAUUACCGCAACUACUGCCUGUUAGGCCAUUUCUACUUCAAUCAAGAUUCAAACAGAUCAGUUUGGAAAAGAAAACAUGGAAGAGCUUGAUCAAUUUACUUUAAAACCAUAGAUAAGUUUUGUGCAUUCUCUUAAUUUAAACCCCACGCAAGUCUCGUGGUUCUCUUUGUGUUGAACCGAUUAUAAAAAAAGUGGGGAAAAAAAGAAAGAAUCUAAUUUAUUCUCAAGCGUUGAUUCUUUGUGUACUCGUCUUCAAGAAAAAAUAAAGCAUUUAAAUUAAAAUAAAUAAUAAAAAGUGAAACAAAACAAUGUUUAAUAAGAGUGGAGAGUCGGUAAAUCUACCGCCGGCCGACAAAAGUCGGAGACAUUAUCGCCGGCGGGCCUACAACUUCCUUCUAUAGCCUUUGCUAAAGAAGAAAGAAUGCUCUCUUUACCUUUUUCAAAACUAUACUUAAAAACUUUAUUUAAAUGUAAUUAAGGACCAUUAUUCUUUACGUUUUUACUAAUUACGUGAUUGGAAAUUUUUUGUUUUUCUUACAAAAUAUAUAUAUAUAUAUCUAGUGUGUGUUGUCUCGGUUGAUUACUUUAGUUUAGUUUACUUGAGUGGAACCUUCUUUGAUAUCUUAAGCAUGUCUAAGGUUAUAAUAUAUGUUUGCUUUUUGGAGAUUGCUAGUACUUACUACUUAGUAGCACGAUGUGUAAUCAACGUGAGGGUAAUGAAAUCAUCAGAGUAACAUGGCCAUGUUCAUUAUAUGUUUUUUUAAUGCUAAAAAGUUAUCAUCUUUGUACUUUCUAAAAUACUUUUGUAUCAUCAACUUGGUUAAAAUAAAAUUUAUGACCAUUAAGGAACAUACUUAACUAUAUAUAAACUAUUUACCGGGUCCAUGUUAGUAAUAAUGAUAUGCCAAGAAAAUUUUGUUUUAGUUUGAGUUCGAUUAUUACUUUUUGAUUCUUUUGUGUUUUGUCCUCUAUAACUCACAUUACGAAUUUUUUAUCGAAAUAAUACGAUAUUGCAUUUCAACUAGACCAUGUUCGAGGUGAAUAUCGUUUUGGUUAUAACCUAACUACAACCCCAAUUUAUCUCAAUUAGAGAACUUGGGAUCGAACUCUCUAUGCCAUGCCAACAAUAUUGUCAAAGCUCCGAUCCAAUAUACCACUAGUUUAAAAUUGUCGGGUCAGUGAAGAUCGAGUAUUUUGCAAAUAUCUCCAAUCAAAAGUACAAAAUAUGUUGUUAUUAUUAUAUACAAAGAAAACACAAAACCUACAUGAGUUUAGCAACAUGGGGGCAAUCAUUUAAACCAAAAACAAAUUGAAGUGCCAUAUAAACAUAAGUAAGUAAAGAAAAACAAACAUAUGUAAAUACAUAAUUAGAAGGGGAUUAGUUAAGGAAGUGAUUAGCGGAGAAAGAAUCAAGAAAAGAUGCCCACGUGUCAGCAUCUCCAACCACGGCUUCCAUAACAUCAACUUGUUCUUGUUGUGACAUCUCAUCGUUUCUUGCAAAUCUUCCUCUUAUCCUUGGCCUACUGUCCGCUAAUGUCUUCCUGCACUCAUACUAAUUACACCCCAAAAAAAAAAAUUAUCAUUAAACUCGUCCCAAAUUAAUGUUAUAGUUAGAUCAUUUACAAUUUACAAACUUGUAACAGAAAACAUCUAACUGGGACACGGUUUAAUGUGUUUGUAUACCAUAUAUACGAAUACUCCAAUUAUCUCUAAUUGGGAAAUGUUUUUUUUUUUACAUUAUCAUCUAAAUGAAUAACUAAUGGAGAAAUAAACUUAUAGCAACCUAACCUUGGAGCUUUGAUGUGUCUAUCUCAAAAGAUUCCUUAGACCCAAAUCUGAUGUGACAGAACAUUAAUUCUCUUUCACAUACUCAUAUAUAUAUAUAUAUCAAAUGAAAAUUCUAUUUUCUUGUUCGAAGAUAAGAUUAAAAAGAAAAAUUCAAUGUUACUUUUUUAGUGAUAAGAGUGAUUGAUAUGAUGCAUUGAGCCAGUUUUAUUUUUUCUUUUCUAGUUUGGUCAACGAACAAUUUUAUUUUGUAUUAAACGUGAUAUUUUUGAUUAUUGUUUUGAAAAACAAGUUAUAUAAAUAAAGUUGGUUUUAUGAAAAUAGAUAUAUGCGCAUCCCCAAAUGCUUUUGUAUGAGUGAUACAUAAUUGACAGGUGAUAUUAACGGAGACAAUUAUAGGAAACAAUACGUUUGAUUAGAAAAUGGAAGGGUUAGCAUCAAUAAGUGUGCAGGUGCAUGUCACUGUGUCAUACAACUACACUAGCAUGUCAAGUCUUAAAAAGUUUCCAUGCGACACUUAUAUAUAUUAUAUACACGUUGAAUAUGUAAUCUAGUUUAGGUAUACAUAUCACAUAUGUACUCUAUGUGUUGAAGACCAAUAUGAAUCAAAAAUAUACAAUUCAUAUAUGCAAGAAAUAAAAUAAAUUUAUUUAGAGGAAAAUUAACAUAGAAACAAAUGUAGAAAACAUAUAAAAAUUACCUUAAUCCUCUUGUUGAAAUUCCUAAGGUUUCUUUUGCUACGAUAUUUCUCGAUCUUUUCUUUCUUCUCUUCGGGGCUGUACUUAUAGGCUUUGCUCAUUCCUUCUAUUAUUGCAUUGCUCUCACUCCACACCGCACUGCUCUCUCUUCUGCUACUUCUCUACACACAAACCAAAACACAGUGUCGUUUUGUGUCAUGAUAUACUUUGUAUAGGAUGCUAAAUAAUUCCUCAACGUAUCAAUUCAUGUUGGGGAUAUAUCAUAUAUGUCUAAUCAUCAUAACCAAAAAAAAAAAACGCAGCCGGAGCUAACUAAUACGUCUAUAUCAGUUUAGGUCAUGCAAGUGUGUGUAUAUAAUAUUAACUUACGGGUAGAUCUCCGGCGCUAAGGGCCCGUCUCACUGGCCCAUCAUCAUCGUUAACGAAAUCGUGGGCCGGCGCAAAAGUACCGGAAAAGCCAUUAUGGCUACUAACACUCCUCUGCAUAACAAGACUCUCUCCACCGCUUCCCAUAGAGCUUGGUGAGUCGCAACUACUGCUUCCGCCACCACCGUUUAUGCCGGAAUCAAAGUAACCGAACCCUGAAACCGCCUCGGCAGGGAACAGAGAGUUGUGGCUCAUCAUAAGAAGCGGCAGAGACGGAGGAGGGUGGAAGUGAUGAUUGUGAUGAUGAUCAUGAUCAUGUAGCUGAGGAGGAGCAACUAUGUUUUCAGAGUAUAGGAAACAUGGACAAUUGUCGCCGGAAGUGAUGGAAGAGCUUACGUGUCCACACAUGGCGGGUUUUGGUUUUCUUGUGGUGCGUGUGUUUAUGUUUCUUUGUGUUUUGUUUGUGUGUGUGUGUGUGUGUGUGAGUGAAACUCCAAGUGGUUGGGUUUCUAUUUAAACAGAGCAAGGAGAAGCUGAGGUCACUGAUCGUCAUCGAUGGUCAACUGACUUAACCGUUGACUUCUUUUGACUGACUAUAAUAAAAAGGAAUCUCAUAUAGCCUUUCGUUUUCACGUCGUUUCUAUCUCACUCUCUCACCCGUUAUUAUUUCGUUUUAUUUUCUCCGAACACAACUGAAUUUAACAUGUAUCAUACGAAGUUGAUACUUUAAAUGAUGAUUAUUUUUUACUUUUUUUUUCAUUUAGAAUGCCUGAAAUUGUUUUUUGAUAAUAAAAAAAUUCAACUAGAUUUAAGAAAUAACAAUUCUUCAAUAAUUGUUAUUCUUGAGCAGCAAUGUCAAUAAUAAACGCAAAUAAAGAGAGCUAGUAACAAUAUAACUCUUAUUAAAGAAAAAUGUUAUUCUAUUGAUUUAUGUAUUGGCUUACUCUUUUCAUCUCUUAACACUUCAGUGUUUUAAAUUAAACUUGUACAUUUUACAGCUUUACAUUUUUUUAAUAAAGAUAUAUGUUUAAACCAUAUAAUAUAAUUUUAAGUAAAUAUUAGUAGAAACAUAAAUAUAGAAUAAUACCAAAAACCAUUUUGUUUCUGAUAAAUAUGGAAGCAAUAAUCAUUUCUAAAAAUCCCUUAAAAACAAGAAUCAAAAUUAUUUUAAAUUUGUAGAUAAAUAAUAUCUCGUGCAACAUUCUUAACUGCAAAAGAGCCAUGGAAAUUUAUUAAAACAAAAAACAAAAUAUGAACAGUGGAGAGAAAAAAUAAAAAUAAAAACUAAAGGAAAGACACGACUUAGCUUUUUAGAUGGAAAUGUAGGAGAGACAAAAAGAUGGUUAAAAGCAUUAUUUCACGCAAAACCAUGUGAGCAGCACAAAUCUACUUUAUUACCUAAUUAAUCAUUUACUUAAUCAACACUAAUUAAUCAAAGCUCAAAUACAUGUUCACAUUAGAUGGGUAUUUUUUAGUCCGGAUAAUAAACCAAGACCAAGACCAACAACAGCAAACACUAUAAAUAUUAUUGCUAUUUGCUAGCUCUGAAUUUGAAUUAGAUCGAACCGUUUCAAUCCAUUAACAGAUACUCCAGGUUAGCCAGAAUUGUUUAGGGAAUCAAAACGAAUUAGGUAACAUAACGAAAGAAAUAUCUCAAAUGAGUCUACCCCUUAAGGUGAAUUAGAUAAGUAUUAUUGUUUAUAUAUAAUUGUUACUUUAUGCUUCAUAAUUACAUUCCAAAAACGACAUUCGAAUAGUAGGAUUACUGCAUAUAUUGUAGGAACACGUUUUAGUCAGUCACUAAAUCUGCCUACUCAUCAUUAGAUACAUAUAUAUCAUUUCUCAUUCACUAUGAUCAAACAACUUCUAAUGUUCCUGUCAAAGCCACAUUUUUAUCCUUAAUUAGGACACAUAAUCAUCCCACUCUCCAUCUUUUUCUAGCAAAAAACCUUAACACACAUAUUAGAUACUACUAGAAAUGAUAUUGAUUAGAUUUAUCUAACUCUAGUCCAAUUGAACCAAGCCAAGAUUAAACUAGAAUGAUUUUGUUUAAUUAAUUAUUCUUUUGUAUACACAAAAAGAACUGCAUCAACUUAGAUGAGAAUAUAGGAUCAUCCUCCUUAUUUCCCUUGAAUGAAGGGAAAAUCCUAUUUCUUCCAUAUUUUUAUAAUCAUCCCAUAUUUUUAUAUACAUAUUGGUACGUUUGAUAAAUGUAUUUGAAGAAAUUUUUUUCCUUUGGAGAUCACUUCUCUGAGCCAAUUUAUAUAAUUUUCUUUUAUGUAUGGGGUAAAAGGUCCAACGAGAGCAUCUUUUUCCAUGUACAAGAUCGGCUCUGUAGGUCCUUCACAAUCAUCGAAAUAAAAUAUAGAUAGCUUCAUUUUUUUUUUAUUUUUUUUCUUUUUAGCUUCAUAUUUCUUAUAAAUGAAUGAUUCUCUUUUUAUUUCAUAUAAACAUAUUAGAGACAUUCCAAAACUAAAAAAAAAAAAAAAAAAAAAAAAGUAUAUAUUUUCUACACUGCAUUGUCCCACAUAAUGAGGAGACAAAAGUAAUAAUUCGCAAUCGUUACGAGGACAUAUAGGAUCUCGAGUCCUACAGUGGAUAGAUGUAGUACUAUGGGGACUAAACAGAAAGACAUUUUUGUGUAUCCUUAAGGGCAAUAUCGCCCACAAGUUGAUGGGAAAGGUCAUGCAAAAGCUAUAUCUAUACAUCAAUCGAUGGUUACCAAGACUUUUUCUAUUUCGUGGUAAACUUUCUUGCAUUAUAUAUAUAUAUAUUUUUUUUUUUUUUUUUUUUUUUUUUUUUGGAAACGUCUUUCUUGCAUUAUAUAUGUACCCUAAAAUACUAAACGUUUCAUGCUUUGGUUGGUUCAUAACUAGUUUCGAGUUUUGACGAUCCAAUAAGAAUUGUUGUUUUUGUUUUCAAUAAUUCAUUAUUGUUUUUUAUCACCACUGGAGCAAAUUAUUGGUUUUAUAUAUACUUUCGCAAGUUUCUCUCUAUCUUCUCUUCAGUAACCCACUUUGGUUAUUUUGACAGCCAACAAUUUUAACUACUAGUUGUAGAUUCAUGAAGAAGGUCAACGGUUCAGGAAAACGAUGAUAGAAUAAAGGAAAUAUUUUAAUAUUUAAAUUCUAAUUAGUAGUGAAACUAAAUAAAUAAUUCUAUGUGAAAUAAAACUCACUCAUAUAAAAUUACACAGUACACUCAUAAAACUGAACUUUGUUAUAAUCAUGUGAAUUUUCCGCCACGACUACAUGGUGACUAUGGAAUAUUUUGCACUUUUAGCACUAAAUGAUACGUAAAUAACGUAUAAUAUUUAUAUGAAACCUCAUGGUUUUAAUUACUAGGAAUUUUGUAGUGUUGGUCAUGUUGUAUAUCAAACAGAGUAUAUGUUUCAUGUCCGAUUGUCUUAACCUAGUAAGUGUCUUUAAUGUCCAAGCCUCCAAGACAUUUAGCUGCUAUAACCACACAUGCAAGUCCGUAGACAUGUAUCCUGAUAUUCGAAUCUACAAUCUCACACUUAAGAAAAUUCCAUUCAUAAAAUAAAAUAAAAAGGUAAGCGGGUCCAUGAAUGGCAAUAUGCAAAUUAUAUAUAGUCCAUGCCUAUAGAAAAGCAAUGAUAAUAGCAUAAAUGUAGGCAAUGAGUACACAAAGAGUUUAUGAUAAAAAAAAAAAAAAUGAAAUGUGUAGGGUUUACUUGUUCUUGGUUGAAAGAAAAAUAAAAGUAUCUUCAUGACAAAUCAAAGAAAGACUAGAUGUUUUUUUUUUAAGUGAUCCCAUCAUUUUGUUUUAUUGUUUUGAUAUAUUACUUUUUUAAUUGUUAAUUAGGACUCGUGCAUGUGUUCCUAUGCGUUUGUCUAAUCUUUUGGAAAGGAGAAAAAGGUCAACAAGCACAAUAGUUUCUCCACCAUUUUCACAUAUAUUCUCCAAUUUGUUGUUUUACUCACUCGUUUUCAUAUAUCGAUUCACGUCAAACUUUGGAUUCUUCGUUUUUGUUUUCAAAAAAAAGAAUUUUGGAUUUCAGUUUGAUCAUAUAAUUUUCAGUUUAGUAAAGAAAUAUCUAUCGAUUUACAAUUUUGAUAUUUCAUGUUAGUUAAGAUUAUGAAUCGAGUUUUAGUCCACCACACUCUUCCACAUAGCCCACUAUGGAGUAUGGACAGUGAUUUUUGUCAACAAAGAAACGGACAACUAUAGAAAUUUUGAAUAGCCAAAACAAAAACACAAUUAUUUAUAUGUUUUGUUUUGGAUUAAUAUAAAUUUUGGCCAAAAUAAUGUAAAUAUAUGGAAAUUUAUGAAAAUAGAACGUUCAUCAUCCUACCAACCAGUUUAUUCGGCUAUGUGGUUAUAAAUAUAUAAUGAUAUAUUUUUUUUAAUAAUCAAAGAGGUUCUGGGCCGAAACACAUACAUCCCCUCAGGCCCGAGACCAAAGCAUGUUAUAUGGUCUCGUCCUAAGCGCUACUCGAACCUGGGACCUCUAAGCUUUUGCCAGAGAUCUAGAAUGAUAUUUUCGUAGCAAUGCAGUUUAAAAUGAUGGCUACGUGAGUAGUUUAUAGUGUAUACAUGGUAUAGAUAAGCUUAUAACUGAUCUAUUUUCUAUAUAUUACCUUAUGUUAAAAUCCGUCAUUACAAUCUUUUUCUAACAGUUUGAAUUAUACAUAAUUUUGUAUCCCUUGUUGAGUUGUUUCAACCCUAAUUUUCUCUAAUCUAUAAGAUUUCUCUUUGAAAACUCAGAUUGAUUAUUUCAUUUAUACUUGUCAGGUAAAUCAUAUAGUUAAUAUGUCAACACGGCUUUUAAAAUUAUUUCGCUUUGGAUGCUAUAUAAUAUGUAUAAGUGAGUGGAUGUACAUGUCGAACAGGAUCUACAUUGGGCAAGAUAGGAAGUCCGUAAAGCCAAAAAUUAAGAACAGAAUGAAGAAAAAUAACUUUCCAAAAUAGGUAAAAUGGGUUAGGCUUCAAAAGUAAUGAUAUUUCUUUUGAUUUGGUAAGUCAACGAGAUAGAUUUGUGUGUUUUAAGUAGGUAACCAAAAUCAUGAAACCAGUUAUUUUUACUGAUUUGUGUUGACUAUACGCUUUUUGAACAAAUAACUGAAACAUAUCAUAAGUACUUAAAACAAUGAAUGAACAGUACUAGAUACAUAUCAGUAUAUCACAUAUAUCAGAAAACAUUGGGUUAAAAAAUCCUGUAGGAAAUCUCUAUAUAUAUUUAGCAGAUAAAUAACUGAAAUAUAUCGAGACGAUUCGUUUAUAUUGAAAGCACGUCUAGCUAAUUCUUGUCAAGUACAUACACAAGAUGAUCAACGUCAAAUAUUAUUAAAAUCAAAAUCAAAAUCAAAAUAUGAAGGGAGGAAAACAAAAAAGAGGUGCGAAGUUGACUAACAGUGACAAAGAAAGAUUGGUGUGGCAAAAUGCACCUUCUCUAGCUAGCUAAGAUAAGCCUUCCCCAUCACUGUCCUUUUCCUCCUCUUCCCUUUCCUCACCUUUUCAUCCUUUUUUUUUCUUAUUCAAUUUUAUUUACUUCUCUACCAAAGUUCAUAGUAUUUUCAAAUAUAUUCUAGAAUAUGAAUUUGUUUUAGUCUUCAACAUUGUUUAUUUGUUUAUGAGAUUUCUUUGACAUAGUCUGCAAAUGAAAAUAAAUGGUGAUGAAAGAGAGGUAAAGUGCGAUACGUUGCAAAUCAAAUUUUUUUCCCAUAUAUAUAUUUUUUUUUGUAAAAUAUUGGUUUCAUAUAUAAGAACGUAUCUAAAUUGAAAAAUGAAUUUUUCAAUUUAUUGUCUUUUCGGUUAAUUAUUUAAAACACUCGAAGUAAAGUUGAAGAACAUAUUAAAAAAGUUGAAGAACAUUAAGUCUACUCGACUCUGAUUGAUAAAAACGUGAGGGAAAGUCAACUAAGAUCUGACCUUAUAGUGGUUGGUUAGAUUUGUACUCUUUAAAGUUUUAUAUAUAUAUAUAUAUAUAUAUAUUACACAAACGCAUGCACAAACACAUAUUCCAUAUAUAAGCUUUGAAUAUGUGAAGAUUCUAUCAUUUUUUCAUAAUUUUCUGUUUUAAAAUAAGUAUAGUUAAGUGUUAUUUUCAAAUUUUUGUUUAGAUUUUGACAUAAAUAAGGUAAAGUAAAUUCAAGUCAAAAUCUAGAAAAAAAACUAUCAAAAGUCAACUUAAUUUUAGAGGUAUGAUAAAAAUUCAUACAUGUGAUAUAGGUUUGUGUGUAAAAUGUCAAAACAACACUAUGUAUAAUAAUGAAUAAGUUUUUGGGUUUUCUAUUUGACAUGACAAGUUGAUUUUGCGUUAAGAAUGCAUGUAACAGAUUUUGACAACAUGCAUCCACUGACCACUAUCAUUUUAUCGUCUUUAUAUCAACUCUACAUCUUAUAGAGUUUGGCAAGUUCACACUAAGCCUCUGCGAACAUGUAAAAACCCAACAUCAUUGGAACAAUAAACAUAAUGCUAGCGGAACAUAACGCUUUAUAAUUUUGCAGAGUUGUUCUAAGUCUUUGAACAACAAAAUUGAUGAACCAAAAUGUUGACAAACUAUUAGAUUAAAUUAUAUCCUUUGAAACGAACCCGAAAAUGUUAAUUAAUAUACAGAUAAAAUGAGUUACUAAUACCAAAUGAUCGGAAAAACUUUGUCCCAGAUCCUCUUGUUGUUGUUCCAACGAUAAAAUCCAUCGUCUUUGACAACGACGAAACACGAGUUUUUACACUCCGUAGCAUCUUUGUCCGAAUCGUACAAGACGUACGGUCUCUCGUGCCUCUCGAAAUGUGCUUCGCUGUAAAACGUUCCUAGGCAAGUCGUUGGCUGCCACACUUUAGAUCCCGCUGCCUUCUUAUCAUCGACGGCGUUGUCGCCACCAGCAGUGGUUGGGAUUUCUAUCAACAACUUUUGACCCAAUGGCACCAGUUUGUACAGCAGAGGGGUCGGAUGGCACGUGACAAACACGGGAACAUCACCACGCGUCUGCAGCUCGUUGGACACGAUAAGUGUGGCUGCACGUGUGGGUUCCGACGUAGAAAAGAGCAUCAUGGUCAUGAUCGAGACCAUCAUAAGAAUGUCCAUGAUUUUGAUUGGAAAUGGAUCUUCGAUUUUUUAAGUAUUCAUUACGUUUUAUCUUUGUCGUAAAAUCUCACUAUACGUUAUUCGCAGAUGAUUAAUGGCCGUAGUAUGAUGACUAUAUUCAUUAUUCUGUUACGAUUGGAGAUUUGUCUGGUCUGCUACGAAAUAAAACGAGUUCAGUAUUGGCCUAUCAGAAGCCCAUAUAGGCCCAAAAGCUAAAACACUUCAGGUUGGUCCAAUUAUUAGUAUUCAAAUCUCACUUUCAUUACAGUAUUUUCCUAAGACCAUCCUCAAUGGGGGUAUCUUAGAAGGCUAAAAUACCCCCACUUUUUCAAAGAAAAUAUGUAAUAUAAGGAUUUUCUUUGAAAAAGUGGAGGUAUCUUAGCUUUCUAAGAUACCCCAUUGAGGAUGCCCUAAGCGCCCAUCCAGCUAGAGCGCCAAGGACUGAUCUAAAUUGGCAGCCCAGUGUGACUGUCACCUCUGAUCACUGGAGCCCCAUGAUAAAUAGCUUUUAGAACUGCUAUGUACUGUUCGGCUUGUAGCCUCUUCUAGGGCAGAGAUAUAAACUCCAAAACAGUUUUGCGAGCACUUGCUUGUUUUCGUCAACCGUUACAAUUAAUAUAUUUCUCAAGUAAAAAAAGUAUUAGUAAUUACUUGGAAACAUACUUUGCAAAUUCUAUAUAGACCGCACCUCCCCGGAUUAAUUUUAAUUUAAUAACAUGAGCUUUGUAGUAGCACUAAGUCAAAUUCAGAGAUUUCAUUCUUUUUAUAGGUCUUUGAUUGGUCUGUGUGUGUUUGACCUCAAAAAAAUGCUUUCCUUAGAACUUCCUAUUUUUAGUAAAAUUUUCAUGUGUCUCGCUUACCAACUAAAUAAACUAAACAAAAAUGUUACAAACAACACUAAAAUCAAUGCCUCUCCCCCUAUUUUUUCUCCUCAUCUAAUAAUCCCUUCAAACCACACAAAAAAAAAGAAAAAAAAAAAGAAAAGAGGAAAUCAAAAACAAAACAAAACGAUCCAAGAGAAAACAAGAUAGAGUUAUAAGAUUGCCGACGAUCCUUCGAUCAAAUUAUCGGUGCCGGAGAAAGAAUAAGUAAAACUACUAUGAAAAAUAACACUACUACCGAAGAUUCGACAAAAUGGAUGUUAGAGAGUGUAGAGAUCGAUUCAAUGGGGGAAGGUUCUUCCAAAGGACCCGACAUUAACCUCAACAAGAACGAAGGUGGUCUGAAGAAGAACGCGUCAAGAAAUCUUGGUGUGGGAUCGAUAAUACGAACGUUAAGCGUUUCAAACUGGAGAAAGAGCGGUAAUCUCGCGUCUCCGAGCACAAGGAAAAGCGGGAACCUGGGUCCUCCGACCAGUGUUCUGCCCAAGAAGACAGGUCCACAAAGAGUGGAGAGGACAACAUCUAGCGCCGCUAGGGGACUUCAGAGCUUACGGUUCCUUGAUCGGACAGUCACCGGACGGGAACGAGAUGCUUGGAGAUCGAUUGAGAACCGGUUUAAUCAGUUCUCCGUUGACGGCAAGUUGCCGAAAGAGAAGUUUGGUGUCUGCAUUGGUACUUAACAUAUAUACUAAUACUUUCUAUAUAGGGUUCCACAUAUUAUACGUGAGAACGUGUGAUUAGUUUCGCUUUUCUAUAGUUGAUAAUACAGAUGUACUUAGCGACGAAUUUUUUUUUAAUUAUUAUUAUUAUUUUUGUAUACCUCUAUGAACUCGAAUUUGUUUUAUUAUUACUGUUUGCUUAGAAAGAAAUUUUAACGUCGAUGGUGAAUAUAUUACUAGGAAUGGGAGACACAAUGGAAUUUGCUGGAGAAGUUUAUGAGGCAUUGGGUCGUAGAAGACAAAUAGAGACAGACACUGGAAUCGAUAAAGAACAACUCAAGCUGUUUUGGGAAGACAUGAUCAAGAAAGACCUUGAUUGUCGUCUUCAAAUUUUCUUCGACAUGUAAAUUAUUUAAUCUUAUACGUUUUCAUAUAUUACAUAAACAAAAAAAAAAAUCCAAAGGCGGUUACUUAGUUUAACUAUCGUGGUUGUGGUUGCUGUUCAGGUGUGACAAGAACGGAGAUGGUAAGCUCACGGAAGAGGAAGUGAAAGAGGUCAUAGUUUUGAGUGCCUCUGCGAACCGCCUCGGGAAUUUGAAAAAGAACGCUGCAGCUUACGCGUCUUUGAUCAUGGAAGAACUCGACCCUGAUCACAAAGGAUACAUAGAGGUUCACAUUUUAUUUCAACUUUUAUAUGAUAGCUUUCUUUAUUAUAUUAUCCAGAGAGUAAUUAUGUUCUGAAAAAUUUCAUUGUUUGUAUCUUCCAGAUGUGGCAGUUAGAAAUACUAUUAACAGGAAUGGUGACAAACGCCGAUACGGAGAAGAUGAAGAAAUCGCAAACGCUGACACGCGCCAUGAUCCCAGAGCGGUACAGAACACCGAUGAGAAAAUACGUUUCGGUAACCGCGGAACUGAUGCAUGAGAACUGGAAAAAAAUAUGGGUACUCGCCUUGUGGCUCAUCAUCAACGUUUAUCUAUUCAUGUGGAAGUACGAAGAGUUCACGAGAAACCCUCUUUACAAUAUCACCGGACGCUGUGUUUGCGCCGCUAAAGGAGCAGCCGAAACGCUUAAACUGAACAUGGCUCUGAUCUUGGUACCAGUCUGUAGAAAAACCCUAACGAUCCUUAGGUCAACGUUUUUGAACCGCGUUGUCCCAUUCGACGACAACAUUAACUUCCACAAGGUGAUUGCAUAUGCGAUCGCGUUCCACGCUUUGCUCCACACUGCACUUCACAUCUUCUGUAACUACCCUAGGUUAAGCUCUUGCUCCUAUGACGUGUUCUUGACGUAUGCGGGAUCUGCCUUGGGAACUACGCAACCGAGUUACAUAGGUUUAAUGAUGACGUCCGUGUCGAUCACGGGUGUUUUAAUGAUUUUCUUCAUGGGAUUCUCGUUUACACUCGCGAUGCAUUAUUUUAGAAGGAACAUAGUGAAAUUGCCUAAACCGUUCAACGUUCUUGCUGGUUUUAAUGCGUUUUGGUAUGCUCAUCAUUUGUUGGUUCUUGCUUAUAUUCUUCUCAUCAUCCAUGGUUACUAUCUAAUCAUCGAGAAGCCUUGGUACCAAAAGACGGUAAUUACGUUAAAAUUUCCAUAUUUAAUGCUAAGAUAAUAUAUUAAUAUGUUCUAAUUUUAUCUUUUUGGUAAAUUAUAUUAUAAUGCAGACAUGGAUGUAUGUGGCAGUACCGAUGCUGUUCUACGCGAGUGAGAGGCUUUUCUCUCGUGUCCUUCAAGAACACAGCCAUCGUGUCAACGUUAUUAAGGUAGCAAACAAAAUGAACAUUGACUACACUAUUAACAUUUUCUAAAGUAAUUUAUACAUUUGAGUGUUUUCUGUUCCUAUAUAUAUUUAUUUGUUUUUAAUUGUUUUGCCUUUCAUCACAGGCUAUUGUAUAUUCGGGUAAUGUUCUUGCACUUUACGUGACCAAACCUCCCGGAUUCAAAUACAAAAGUGGCAUGUACAUGUUUGUCAAGUGUCCUGAUCUGUCAAAAUUCGAAUGGUAUCCUAAUUAAUUAUUUAGUAAAAUAAAUUAAAUGAUUGUUUUUUUGAUAAGGUAAACAAUAAUAUUGAAUUUAUCUUCCUUAUUAUUUAGGCAUCCGUUCUCCAUUACUUCCGCACCAGGGGAUGACUAUUUAAGUGUUCACAUAAGAGCUUUAGGAGAUUGGACUACUGAACUUAGGAGCAGAUUUGCAAAGGUGAUCGUUGUCUCUCUUUAUUUGCCUAAUUAAAUAAUUUUCGUUAUAGCUGACUUUUAUUUUAUUUUUAUAUCUCAUGUUAAUUAUAUGAAAUUUUAAUUCUAAAGGUAAAGUGUUUAACUUUGAUUGUAGACAUGCGAGCCACCUCAAGCAGCAGCUAAACCUAAACCAAACAGUCUUAUGAGGAUGGAAACAAGAGCAGCGGGUGUGAAUCCUCACAUUGAAGAGUCACAAGUCUUGUAAGUGAAUACUAAAGAACUGCCAGUAAAUUCUUAAAUUCGAUCUGAUUGCUGUCGAAAAUUUUUUUUUUAAAUGAUCCUGAUCAGGUAAUCAAUUUUAUUUUUAUUUUUUUGUAUCAGAUUCCCUAAAAUUUUCAUCAAAGGACCAUAUGGAGCUCCGGCACAAAAUUAUCAGAAGUUCGACAUCCUCUUACUAGUAGGACUAGGGAUUGGGGCAACUCCAUUCAUAAGCAUCUUGAAAGACAUGUUAAACCAUCUAAAGCCCGGGAUUCCCAAAAGUGUAAGUAGGAUAAAUGUUUUGUUCAUUAGGAGGUGAUAGUGUUAGUGGAACAAUUUUUAAAAUAUUGGAACAACAGGGACAAAAGUACGAUGCAAGUAUAGGAGGAGAGAGUAUAGGAGGUGAUAGUGUUAGUGGUGGAGGCAAGAAGUUUCCACAAAGAGCAUACUUUUUUUGGGUGACAAGAGAACAAGCUUCUUUUGAUUGGUUCAAGGGAGUUAUGGAUGACAUCGCCGAGUAUGAUAAAACUGUAAGUUUAUUUGAUUCAGUUUUACUACAUUAUUGUUUUUUUCUUUCCAUAAUGGGGCUUAUGAAUUGCUCUGUCGUAUAAAACAAAAAAAUUGUAAUGUUUUUUUGUUUUUGGCAGCAUGUGAUAGAAAUGCAUAACUACUUAACAAGCAUGUACGAAGCGGGAGAUGCAAGAUCUGCCUUAAUCGCCAUGGUUCAGAAACUUCAACAUGCCAAGAACGGUGUGGAUAUCGUCUCCGAAAGCCGAGUAAGUUUUCUGAUUUUUUUCGAUUGAUUACCAAACAGUUAUAUGACCGUUGUCCACUUUCGAUUUCAGUGUAAGAAAACAUACAUAAAAUCAUUUUUACUUUGAUGUCAAAAAAAAAAAAAAAAACUUAGAAGGGAAUGUCAUUAGCUAAUGAUCAGUUACGUGUAUCUCAAUUAGAUGAUUAAUUACUCUUAAUUAUCCCCCGAAACAAAUCAGAUACGAACACAUUUCGCAAGACCUAAUUGGAGGAAGGUUUUUUCUGAAUUGUCAAGCAAACACGAAGCUUGUCGAAUAGGUACUUACUAUCUUAAAUAAUUAAUUAUUAUCAACUUGAAAAACAUUAUUACUUCAAGUAUUUGGUUUAUAACCUUCAUAAAAUAAUUCUUAACAUGUGUAUUUUCAGGUGUAUUCUACUGUGGAAGUCCAACAUUGGUUCGACCACUAAAAGAACUUUGUCAGGAGUUUAGUCUCGAGUCAUCCACUCGUUUUACUUUCCACAAGGAAAACUUCUAAUUAACCAAUUUAAUCUUUAAAAAACAGAUUUUGCUUAAUCCUUAAUCAGAUUGGGAGUAAAUUUAUUAAAGACCAUAUAUGCAGGAUGUAAUUAGUUGGUGAGACAAUGUAAAGUAAUUUAACGACGUAAGAAAUUGUAUAGUAACAUUUAAAUUAAGAAAAUCUUAAAGUACUAAUGUUUAUUUUGACGGAGUUUCUUGUAUAUAUACUUUUGUGAUGAAAAUCUUUGCUACAAUUGUUUAGAACAGUUUCUAUAUUUGUAAAGUUUUGUGAACUUGUGACUGUUAUUUUGUCUUUGUCAAAAAUUUUGAAAUUGAGAAAAUUUCCCAAAUUAAUGAACAAACACUUUUAUGCUUUCUAAAAUUCGUUUUUUAGAUUCUUUCUCCUAAAUCAGAUAAGUGUAUGGAAAGACCAAAUUUUAUCCUUAUUCCUAAUGGAAGUGGAGUAGAGUAGGUAAUAUGAUAACGAAGUGUACAAAAGAGUCUAACUUGUUAAGCAAUUGUUAGUUUUGGACCUUUCGUACGCAUGGCUAAAUCAUGGAACUUUCCACAUUAUUGAUAUUUUUCAUAUAACAUGGAUUCUACACGAUUUUCUAAAGAUUUAUUCAAUUAGAUAGAUGAUAAUUUAUUUCCCGAAAAUUGCAUUCCUUAAAAAAAAAAUCCAUGUUGCGUAGAAUUAAUCAUAUUACAUUCCUGUUGAUUUCCUUUAGGUGUACUUAUACUCUGCUUUUUCUUUUUUCACGUUAUUAAAGAUUGGCUAAUCUUUGGCACUUAAGGUAAAGCAUCUUAAUAAUCAUCAUUGAUCAUUUCUGUUCAAAGGUUAAUAAAAAGAAUGUUGAUUAUUUUUGUACAAAUAUAUGGCUUAAUGAUAUAAUUGCUAGUAAUAUUUUUUAGUUUUCUGGUUGCCUCUAUUUGUUGGUGGAUAUAUACACAAUACAAAAUUACUUUUCACUCUUAAGAUAUUUAUUGUCAGAGAAAACUAAAAUUCUAAAAAAAAAAAAAUUAAGAAAACUAAAAUUCUAUUAAUUAUUUAAUAAAAUUAUUACCCUAUGAUUCUCUUCCACAUUAUUUCAUAUCAGUUUACCAAACAGAAAAGAGAAAAUGUUAAAUAAUAUAGGACAUAUGAUAUAGAUUAGUACAUGCAUAGGCAUUACAAAUAUCAAAUUUUAAAUAAGCUAUAAUAACGAUGAGCGCGUGGUUAAUUAAUUACAGUUAUCAUAUGGAACAUCAAACAUGCAUAUAUGAUCUGUUACGUACGUCGAACUCUUAAGAUUUUAGAGAAUUUUUAUGUAAUUAUCACCAUCUUUAUAUAUUCGCCUAAAAGGUGGCUAGUAACAGUCCGCUCAAAUUUGUACAUAUAUAUUCGUAUAUGAUACGUUCUAUAUAUGUAUACAUACGUGCACACAUUAUACUAUAUAUAUUUUGUUGGAGCCUUAAUCAGAAAUCAAGGGUUGGUGUAACCACAAUAUGUAUGUCAAAAAAUUAAAUAAGAAAAAAACAUGUUUUCGCACAAGUCCUCCAAUCUAAUAAACCUCGAUCUCUUCACAUACCAAUCAUGUAUUUAUGUGUAUAUCUUAGCUACGCGUAUGUAUUCAGUAUAAAGAACCCACUUUCUACGCGUAUCUAGAUCAAAUAUUCUUUUUUAAAUUUUUUAAUUAAAUGGUAAGUUUAAGACAUUUAGAUAGUUUCUCUAGACUAGAGUUCGUUGAAAUUGGUCUGAUCAGGAUUAGAUAAAUACGUAAAAGGUCAUAUAUAUAUGUUUUUAGUUUAGUGUAAUUCUAUAAUUAUUGUCGAAAAAACCGUUAAGAGAUAUCAGAAUUUCGUUUUCAAAUAAUAACAUGGGAGAUAAUAACACGGAAUUAACCUGUUUCUAAAUAUAGCUCUCGUGUCACAUGCAGCCUAGUUAAAAACUUUAAAAUGAAUAUCUAUCUAUAACUAUAUUUACUGUUAAUGAUUGUGAGUUACCAACUAAAAUGUUGUUAAAGACAUAAUUGUAAAAACUACAAAUGGUUUGAACUACAUACUAAUGAUCUAAACUCAUGUUUCAUCAUUAUGUCGUCGUCCGAUUAUUUUCUUUAGUUUCAACAUUUCUUUAUAACCUUUUUAACAAAAAAUUAUAUGAAAACUAUAUUUGACGGGAUAAGUUGAUACGUACUUGUUAGCAACCUGUCUAGAUCAUAUUUUGACUUUAUAUUUCUCAAAAUUAUAUAUUUGAAAGAGGAGAUCGAGCCAACAAUUUGCAAAUACACAUAUUAUAUACUUUUUUUAUUUGGUUAAAGCUAAAGUUACACAUAAACUUAUUGAUUAAUAAACAUAAUUAUAAGAAUAUAAUGUGUUUUAAAAAGUUCAAUAAAUAAGAAUAUGAGUAUAAAGUUGUGUAAAUAUGUAUAUAAGUAUAGAGAAACAUGUAUAAGUGGCAUGCCUUUGAGGAUACGAACAUAAAAGGGAGUUAGGUCACUUGCUUGGGAAAUAAAAUAGCCAACCUUAAUUUGAGGUUUCCUCAAUGUUCUAAUAUAUUAAAAAGAAGGAAAAAAUAUAUUGGAAAUUGCCUUCAUGGAUUUUGAUAUCUAACCCUAAUCGUGACCUUCUUUGAUAGCUACAAUCUCCCUCUCCUUGCUUAUACCCCAAGCAAUUUUAGCUUACGAAUGUUUUGACCAACUCCACAUCGGUUAAAUCUCCUUUAAAAAGUUCCUCACCUACAAAUAAAAUAAAUUAAAAUAAUUAACAAACAGAGAUGAAGUACUUAUCACUUAUAACAUGCUUAUUAAAUGAUGAAACUGAAAUGUAAUUUACUAAAACAUAACCACUAUAAUCACAAAAGUUACCCCUUCCAAGAAAAUCCAAGAGUGCGUAAAAUUUUGAUGUUCGUACGUAGAGUUGUGUUUUGGGUCUAAGCAAAAUUUAGCCAAAACGAUAUUCCUAAACUGCCACAUUUAGUCCAAGUCACUUACUUUCUCAUGUCAAAAAUUUGAAGUCUAAUAUACUCAAAGCUGUCAAAGAUGCAGCACAGGAAGAGGAACUGUCAUAUCUGAGAAACUAAAAUUGGCAAUUUUACAUUUCAUAUUUAGAAUCUACGCCAUAGUAUCGAGAAGGAAACAAUAGUUUUCGAGGAAUUGAAGAGGGUCAAAGAGUUUGACUUAUCUUUGACACCACUCAUACAUUAGCUGUUCAUACAUAAUCUAACAACUUGUCAAUAUCAAGUGUUUCUGAUUACAGGGAGUACUUCUCUACCAAUUAUCUUUUUGUUUUUUUCCAAAACAUUUACUAAUUGUUUUUUCUAGCUCUCUUGCUCAAGCAAACACCUAACUCUCCUUCCUAUAUAUACACUAAAUGUUGAAACAAUGAAUCCACAAUCUACAGCAAAUACAUAAACAAAUAACCGAGGCAGAGUAUUCAGUAAAACUUACUUGCUAUAAUCAAAGCCUCGGGGUCCAAAGCUCACUCAAAUGGCGUUUCAGCUUCUCUUAGCUAUUUUCUCUUGUGUUCUCCUUCUUCCUCUACCUGCAUUUGGGAUUACAAGGCAUUAUACGCUGGAAGUAUGUGAAGGAUUUGUUUCUUCUGUGUAGUAGUUUAAAUGGGAAUGCAAAUAAUGAUUGAAUAUUGUUACGUUUUCGCAGAUCAAAAUGCAGAACGUGACACGUCUUUGCCACACAAAGAGCCUUGUUUCUGUAAACGGGCAGUUUCCAGGACCUAAGCUUAUUGCUAGAGAAGGUGACCAGCUUCUGAUCAAAGUCAUUAAUCAAGUGCCAAACAACAUCUCUAUCCACUGGUAAAUAAUCUUCAAACCACUUGUAUCAUUAUUCAGAGUAACGGUUGAUUACUCAUAGCUGGCUUUAAUCCGUGAAAAAUCGCAGGCAUGGGAUCCGACAACUACGAAGUGGUUGGGCUGAUGGACCAGCCUAUAUAACCCAAUGUCCUAUUCAGACAGGACAAAGCUAUGUCUACAACUAUACCAUUGUUGGUCAAAGAGGCACCCUGUUUUAUCAUGCUCACAUUUCAUGGCUAAGAGCAACAGUCUAUGGUCCACUUAUCAUCCUUCCCAAACGCGGUGUUCCUUACCCGUUUGCUAAACCUCACAAAGAAGUUCCCAUGAUCUUUGGUAAGGAUGAUGAGGAAUAGAAGCAGACUGAGAAUCUGAUGAGAGUUUAUAAACAUAAUAGCUGAUUUUUUAUGGUUAACUUGCAGGGGAGUGGUUCAACGCAGACCCUGAGGCAAUCAUCCGCCAAGCAACACAAACAGGAGGAGGUCCUAAUGUCUCUGAUGCUUACACAAUCAAUGGGCUUCCUGGUCCAUUAUAUAACUGCUCUGCCAAAGGUAAUUAUUACUUCCUAUAUCUAAUUAUGGUUUAAUAAAUUAUAGCCCACUAAUCAACUUAACCAAUGAUGUAAAACAGAUACAUUCAGACUGAGAGUGAAGCCAGGAAAAACAUACCUUCUCAGGCUAAUCAAUGCUGCACUUAAUGACGAGCUCUUUUUUAGCAUCGCAAAUCACACGGUUACGGUUGUUGAAGCGGAUGCAAUAUAUGUAAAGCCAUUUGAGACGGAUACCAUCUUAAUUGCUCCUGGCCAGACCACAAACGUCCUGCUGAAGACGAAACCUAGUUACCCGAGUGCCUCUUUCUUCAUGUUUGCUAGACCAUACGUCACAGGUCAAGGAACUUUCGAUAACUCUACAGUUGCUGGAAUCUUAGAAUAUGAACCAUCUAAACAUAUCAAAGAUGCUCACUCAAGGGCCUCUAUCAAGAAUCUUCAACUCUUCAGACCGACACUCCCUGCUCUAAACGAUACAAAUUUUGCUACUAAGUUCAGCAAUAAGCUACGCAGUCUGAACAGCAAAAACUUCCCAGCAAAUGUGCCUCUGAAUGUUGAUCGAAAGUUCUUCUUCACAGUAGGAUUGGGAACAAACCCGUGCAAUCAUAAGAAUAACCAGACAUGCCAGGGACCUACUAACACCACAAUGUUUGCUGCCUCAAUCAGUAACAUUUCCUUCACAAUGCCAACAAAAGCUCUCCUUCAAUCUCACUAUUCUGGCCAAUCUCAUGGAGUGUAUUCCCCCAAAUUCCCAUGGAGUCCCAUUGUUCCGUUUAACUACACAGGCACUCCACCAAACAAUACCAAUGUAAGCAACGGGACAAACUUGAUGGUUCUACCUUAUAACACCAGUGUGGAGUUGGUGAUGCAAGACACUAGCAUUCUAGGUGCUGAAAGCCAUCCUCUCCACCUUCAUGGGUUCAACUUCUUCGUCGUUGGUCAAGGCUUUGGAAAUUUUGACCCUAACAAGGAUCCUAAAAACUUCAACCUUGUUGACCCAAUAGAGCGGAACACAAUCGGUGUGCCAUCCGGUGGAUGGGCUGCUAUUCGAUUCCUUGCAGAUAACCCAGGUAAGAGAAACAAUAACAAACCAAAGAAACACAACUUUACAUUAGCGUAAUCUAAGAUGAAUAAUAAUAACCAAGUUUACAAAAUAUUUCACAGGAGUGUGGUUCAUGCACUGUCACUUGGAAGUACAUACCAGUUGGGGUCUGAGGAUGGCUUGGCUUGUUCUUGAUGGAGAUAAGCCUGAUCAGAAACUUCUUCCUCCUCCAGCAGACUUGCCCAAAUGCUGAGAAUUCUUGCUUCAUGAUUCAAGUGCUUUCCAUUUUGUUUGUUGUCUCUUUUUUCGUGCAUUUUUUUCGUUUUUUCCCCGGCCAUUUAUCGGUUUGACAUGAGGUCAAUUCCUGUUCAAUAAUUUGACAUGAGGUCAAUUUCUUUACAAUUAUUUUCUGUUGCACAGCUCUGUUUUCUGUAAGUGUAGAUCUAUGUAAACCCCAGAUUAAUAUAUAUACACAAUCUAAUUUGCAUAUAUUGACCUUACCUUCGAUUGUUAUUACCACAAUCUCUGAAGCAACUAACUGCUGAAGAUAUACACAAAUCAUUUGAAUCAGAUGGUUCAUAUAAACUAUGAUGCAACAUCCACAUAUGACAUGUGCACAUUGUAUUUAUGUGUAGAUAUUUAUGAUGAAAUAUGGCUCUACAGUCAAAACGGUUCUGUACAUUUAUCCCAAGUUUCCUAGUCUAGUUUUCUAUUAAAAGACCUUCGGAGCAGUACAAAGUCUAAGUGAAACUCUCAGGAACCAUAGGCACAUUUGUAACUGACAAAUAGCAUGUAAGAUUUACGUACCUGACGAUUGAGGAUCAUCUGUACUUGCACUAGUUUAGUUGAACAGGACGUGGAAAUCCUUCUUCAGAAAACUUCAAGUGCCUCGCAAUUGUGCAGACUUCCUAUACUUUCAAUUCCUAAACAAAAUUGAGUUUCACAUAUAGCAUUUCUAGUUUAUUUUACAGCUGCAAUAAGUUGAUUUAAGUGAAUGCUAAUGCCAAAACUUUGCAAACAAGCAUCUUCGAAAUAUAGUCAAAGAUAAUAAGGUAGCAUCACACUACCAAAACAACAAAAACUUGAAUCAGACAACCAAAACUAAGAAGAGAAUUCCAAAAAUAAAAUCUUUCUCAAUCUUAAUUGCCACCAAGUAACAUCUUCAACUACAUUUUAACCAAAAUUUGAAAGAUUUGUUCAUUCCCACUACAAAAAUUUCCCCAACCUUGAGCUAAAACCCCAAAUUAACCAGCUUUAACCAUCAAUUCAAUCUCCUACAAUUUCCUCUUUUUUUUGCUCUUGCUCUCCUCUGAAUCCAUCCCUUCACCACUCUUCCUUUUUUUCUUGCUCUUUUUCUCCUCUGAAGCCAACUCUUCCUCAGCCUUCAUCUUCUUCUUCUUCUUCUUCUUUUUUCUCUCUUCGCUCAUCUCCUCGUCUUCCAACUUAUCCUUCACCUUCUCAUCAAUAACAUCUUUGUCUUUGUUCUUCUUUUUCUUCUUCUCCUUCUUUCUCUCUCCGCCCAUUUCCUCCUCUUCCAACUUAUCCUUUACCUUCUCAUCAGUAACAUCUUUGUCUGUGUUCUUCUUCUUCUUCUUUUUUUUAGUCUUCUCCUUAUCCUCCUGUUCCCUACUAUAAACUGAUUCCUCAGUCAUAGAUUCACUUUUCCGGUCAGGAACCUUCUCACCAUCGAAUUCGCCGGUGAAAUUCCUCUCACGCCUCGUUUCGGAGCUUGGCUUCGUACCCUUCGAUUUAAUCUCCCUGUGGAAACUCUUUAAUUGAGAAAAGGCAGCGGAGGCUCGUUGGAGGUACGCACUAACGUCCUGAGAGGCGCCAUUAUCAGAAGAAGUGAAUCCAGAGAGAAGCGUAGCCGCCUUGGAGAGGGAGAUUGGUUCAGCACAAAUAACUCUUCCGGUCACGGUCUUCAUCGGAAAGAAGCAAGCUCGAAGAUCGCCGCGCCUCUCUCCCUCUGCUCAAAUUAGGGCAAUUUCUCCCCAAAGUUUAGUACAGUACUUUCAAAAUAUACACGAAUGAAAACAAAAAUUACGAACUUCUCCUUGUUAUGUUUUCUACGAAUUGUUUUUUUUUUUUCAAAACCAGUAAUUUUCCUUUUUCUAAGGUUUUGUAUUUUCCUUUUCUGGUCAAGCUGAACAAUAUUUGUAUAUAUACAAGUACUCGCGACAAAAUCAAUGAUUAGGAUUAAUACCUCCGUGGUAAAGAGCUCUAGGUUAAGAAGUUGAAGGUCGCAGGUUCGAAGCUUAAACUAGGUUUUUUUUUGCCCCUUCACUCUUGCUCAGUGCUCCAUUGCUCUCUGUAUCUCCCGCCUGUUACUACUUCUGCUGCUUGUCUUUAAACCCUAAACCCACCUUCCUCCAUCCUCGUCUUUCUCACCGUAAGUUGUUGAUUUUUCCGAUUGAUCCCGAGUUUGUUUUGUUUUUGCUUCUUCUUCUCUGACGUCGAUUCGAACUUAUUCGGGCUUUUUGGUUUCCCCCUGUGUAAAAAGUUUGCAGCUUUUUGAUUGGAGAGAUGGAGACGAAGAUGGAAAUUGAAUACACUAAGAAGCCUUACAUCGAAGAUGUUGGUUCUCUUAAGAUGUAUGUUCUUUCACUUUUCUCCUCAAGUUAAACCACUCCAUUGAUAUAAUUUUCCCAACUACGCUCCUUUCAGCAGUUGGAUCAUAAUACUCAAUGUGCCUAAAAAUCGUCUCUUUUGCUACUGUUUGUAUGUUGAUUUUGAAGCUCAUGAAAUUUUGAUUUGGGUGUCUGAAUUCUUAUGUCAAUUGAGAUGACUGUUUACCAGUUAAAGAGUUUCUUAGCUGACGUUUUCUCUGAUUUACUUUCAUGAUUCUCUUUUUGUAUGGUCUUCUGUAGAUUUAGCUUAUGAUGAUCUUACUUUGAUACAAAUGAAUGCCUUUGGGUGUUGUUUAUGAAUGUCUGACUUUUAUGGUUUGACAUUAUUGAUUUUGUGGAGCAAAACUUGCUUGUCAGUUUCUGCUGUUUUUUCCUGCUCCGCUUUUGACUUAACUAUUAUCUCUGCAGAAAAAGCAUAAACUUCUCUAUGCUUUCUGAUCUUGAGGUCAUGAAAGCCGCUGAAGUUCAGGUCUGGAAGAAUAGUUACUACGAUCCCAAUUGUAAACCCUUUGAAGGCGGCUUGUUGGAUCCUCGAAUGGUAUCCGACUCUCUUAUAUAUGUGUUUCUUUUGGUUUAACUUUUUAUGCAUAUAACCAGUUAUUUGUAUCUGUAUAUGUAAUUCUAACCAUUCUCUAAGUGGUUUGUUCAUUAUGAUUGGGCAGGGUCCUCCAAACAAAAAGUCUAUAUGCACAACCUGUGAGGGGAACUUCCAAAAUUGUCCAGGACACUAUGGAUAUCUGAAGCUUGACCUCCCAGUUUACAACAUUGGAUACUUCAAUUUUAUCCUCGACAUAUUGAAAUGCAUUUGUAAGGUAACAGAGUUAGCCAAUUAUAUCUCUCUAGUUUCUGUUCUCGACCCUUUUAUUUUUGUUGAAUGGAAACAGUAAAGAAAAGUACAUUAUAGAAAAAUUAUUUCUAGGGAAGAUCCCUUUCGAAAUGCAGACAAUACCUAAUUUUCAUAACAAAACUGGCUGGUUAUUUCACUGUCUUUGUAGCAUCAACCGUAGUUCACAAAUAUUGUUUUUCUCCUUUCUUUUACCGCAGUGCUGUUCGAACAUGCUUUUGGACGAGAAAUUGUAUGAAGAUCACUUGAGGAAGAUGCGGAAUCCCAAAAUGGAGCCAUUGAAGAAGACUGAAUUGGCAAAAGCGGUUGUCAAGAAGUGCAGUACGAUGGCUAGCCAGAGAAUUAUAACGUGCAAAAAAUGUGGCUACCUGAAUGGUAUACUUUUGAACUAUUUUUUGACUGAAACCAAUUAGAUUCGAUAUGCUAUUUCGAAGAUGUUUAUAACCUUGAUAUAUUUUCUCAUUCUUCAUGUGUUUCAUCUUAGUUGCAAAAUUUAGCUCACAGAACAUUCUAACGAAUCUUAAGUUGCACAAGCAGAGAACUUGGGAUUUUUUUUUUUGUCAUUCUGAUUUCCAGUGCCAAAAUCCUUUAAUUGUUGUUAUUGGUUAAUCUCAAAUUAUGUUAUAUUCUAAUUUAUGCUAUGUUCUUGAAAGUGCUUCUUCCUACCCAGUUCAGUUAUAUAUACAUAUAUAUAUUUCAGUUAUGAUAAUCUAUUGAUUAUUGCAGGUAUGGUGAAAAAGAUUCCAGCCCAGAUGGGUAUAGGUAUCAGUCAUGACCGAUCUAAAAUUCAUGGUGGAGAGGUUGAUGAAUUUAAAGCUGCAAUAUCCCACAUAAAGGAGUCUACUCAAGCAAUAAAUCCUCUUACAUAUGUUCUUGAUCCUAACGUGGUGCUUGGGCUUUUUAAAGGAAUGAGUGACAAGGUAUAUUUGAGUUUAUAUCUAUAAUGCACAUGUUUUUCUACAUAGUUUCCUGCAGUAUGUUCUUUUGCUCGCAGAACAUAUGCAUUAGUAUAAAGGGAUUUUCUUAUUUAUUAUUACAGGACUGUGAACUUCUUUAUAUUGCCCACAGACCUGAGAAUCUUAUCAUAACGUGCAUGCUUGUGCCACCUUUAUCAAUCCGACCAUCUGUUAUGGUUGGUGGCUCCCAAAGGUAAGCUAUCAUUUUGAUCUUUCUCAUGUCAAUUAUACUUUUUACUGCUGGUUUUCUUGAAAGAGCGUGUUUUCUUGCUGCAGUAAUGAAAAUGAUUUAUCAGCGCGAUUAAAGCAAAUCAUUCAAGACAAUGCUUCACUUCAUAGAAUUUUAAGUCAACCUACCACUUCGGCGAAAAACAUGGUACGAUGAGUUAUCUAUUGCAUUAUUGCAUCCCUGUUAUAUUUGUGUAUUAAUGCAUUUGGUGCUGUAAAGUUUGUCUCUGUUUUUGUUAAAUCUUACUUCGAAAUGUUUUCUUGGUUUACCCUUUUAUUAACUUUUCUUAUAUUACUAUUUCUUGUUAUAUCAUUUUCUUCUUACUUAUUUUUUGAGGAUUUCUUUUUAGCAAGUGUGGGAUACAGUACAAAGCGAGGUUGCAAAAUACAUUAACAGUGAAGUCCGUGGUGUUCAAAACCAGCCAGACAGCAAACCAAUGAGUGGAAUUCUUCAGCGUCUCAAAGGAAAACAGGGACGUUUCCGUGCAAACUUGUCAGGAAAGCGUGUCGAGUACACUGGUAGAACUGUUAUUUCACCUGAUCCCAAUCUGAAAAUUACAGAGGUAUCUUUUCAUAAAUGGUGUUAAAUUUUUGCUUUUUGUUUAUAUUUUUGGUUUAACUUAUCACAGAGGUAACUAAACUUUUCAGGUAGGAAUUCCCAUCCUUAUGGCUCGGAUCUUAACUUUUCCUGAAUGUGUUUCCCGUCAUAAUAUUGAGAAGUUAAGACAAUGUGUCCGUAAUGGCCCUAAUAAAUACCCUGGUGCCAGAAAUGUCAGAUAUCCGGAUGGUUCUUCAAGGUAAUGUUGUGUCCUAGCUUUGUUACUUCUUGGUUGAUGCAUACUUUUAAAGGGGAGGAAACUGAUCUUGAUGAGUUAAUAUAUCUAGAUAGCUAGUUUUCUCAGUUGAAGUGAUCUUCAGAUUCUGUAAAAUUAUGUGAAAUUGUAAAUCUAUGUUGACUCGUGUAUAGGUUUUGUUCAUGGUAUAUAGGUAGAAAUGAAAAUGUGCAAGUAACAAUUUUUCCUCUUAAUGAAGCCAAGUCAAACCAUUGAGACUUGUUUCAAGAAAAUAGUUACAUUAUUACUGAACUGAAGUUACCUGAUACCACUGAAGGACUCGUCAUAGGGUCAUUUGCAUGUGAUUGGGUCAUCAUAUGGGGGCAUUAACACAUUUCAUUUCAGGGCUUUGGUUGGUGAUUAUCGCAAGCGUAUUGCUGAUGAACUGGCCAUUGGGUGCAUAGUUGACCGCCAUUUGGAAGAAGGGGAUGCUGUUCUUUUUAACAGGCAGCCAAGUCUGCAUCGAAUGUCUAUCAUGUGUCACAGGGUCAGUACUGCUUUAGAAUGCUUAGUCCUAAUCCUAUGCUUUAGAAUGUCUAUAAUUUUUUGCUCUCAUACUAAUCCUAAUCCUAAUUUUACAUUUGUUGUCCUGUAGGCAAGAAUAAUGCCUUGGAGAACGUUGAGGUUCAAUGAAUCGGUUUGUAACCCAUAUAAUGCUGAUUUCGAUGGUGAUGAGAUGAACAUGCAUGUACCACAAACAGAGGAGGCUCGGACAGAGGCUAUUACAUUAAUGGGGGUACUUGCUCUUUUACUUAGCAUCAUAUUAAGUUUCUUAGGGGUAGUCAAUUAUACGUUGGUUACAUUUAACACUCUUUAUGCUCAUAUUAAUGCACACAUACAUAAGUAGCAGAUGAUUAUGAGAUGGAGUCUUACUUAACAAAUUCCACCAAUGAUUUUCAACUAAAUCAACUGAACCUUUAGGCUUUCCAAAGCAAUUUAGAUUCUGUAGUUGAGGGAAUUCUGAGUUUAAAAAUGUUUGAAAAACUUUAUUUGUAAUGUGUAUAUGAACGAUCUUGAUGGACAGAAGGGAUGAUAGAGUUAAAGAGAGGAAAUUUUUUCAUCUAAGUUGUGUUUGUCGUUAGAUAGCUACAGUUAUACUCGUCUGUAUAACUGUUGACAGGACUAAUUAUCUGGUUGAUAUUUUCCCUUCUGGUUGAUUAUUUACUUCUUCCUUGAUUGGUAUUUCAGGUACAAAACAAUUUAUGCACCCCAAAAAAUGGAGAAAUUUUAGUAGCAUCAACGCAGGAUUUUUUGACAUCUUCCUUUUUGAUAACGAGAAAGGACACAUUUUAUGACCGUGCAGCCUUUUCACUUAUAUGUUCUUACAUGGGAGAUGGCAUGGAUGCUAUUGAUUUGCCCACACCCACAGUCCUUAAGGUAUGAGACCUCUACAUGUUUUUCACCUCUAUAGUUUAUCUCAACUGACUUGAGAUUGUUAGAUAGCUACAGCUUGUUCUGUUGGUAUCAACUAUUUUAUAUUUUUAUUUCUAUUUUAUGUGCUUGUUUAAUUCUCUCAUUAGCUUUCUGCUGUCCUACUUCUUCUGGGAAUCCGUCGUCACUGAUUCUUUCUUUUCUUUUAAUCUAGAGAUAAUAGUUCUUAUCUUUGCUCAUCUCACCUUAAUUUCUUUUUCUGGAUGCUCAAGGUUAUAGACAUACUUUGUGGCUAUAUUUUGGCCUUCCCAUAAUGUUAAAGACCUUUUACAUAUCACAUGUUUAAAAACUGCUCCAGUCCAACUACUGUAUCAGCCUGAAUUUGCAUGACAUUUUACAUUAUUGUCUUGAGUUUAAUUAAUGGGUCAAUGUUAGUUAUUGAUAUUUAAUCUGCAUGGUCAAAUAAGUUUUGGUCUUGUGGACACUGGGAAUUCUUCUGCCUUUUUAGCAUUUUCUUUCUUUCUAUUAAUUUCUUAUCUAGAUGCUAUUUUUUAUGCAGCCAAUAGAGCUUUGGACUGGUAAACAAAUUUUUAGUGUUUUGCUGCGUCCAAAUGCAAGUGUUAGAGUCUACGUAACUCUUAAUGUGAAAGAGAAGAACUUCAAGAAGGGAAAUCAUGGUUUCGAUGAGACAAUGUGCACAAAUGAUGGAUGGGUUUAUUUUCGAAAUAGUGAGCUAAUAUCAGGACAAUUGGGGAAGGCUACGUUAGGUAAGUCCAAGAUGGAAUGCAAGAUGUAGCAAAUGCAUCAGAUAGCUGUUCAUUCUGGGAUUUUCUUUCGUGUAUUUUGAGCACUUGAUAUUUUUAUCUAGGGAAUGGAAACAAGGAUGGAUUAUAUUCUAUUCUUCUAAGAGAUUACAACUCUCAUGCUGCUGCAGUUUGCAUGAAUCGGCUAGCAAAAUUGAGGUGAGUUCAUUUUUAUGCAUAUGGGAUUGUUUUAUCUUUUCUGACUACUUUUUCCUUGAUCUCACUGCAACACUUCAAUCUUUAUUAUCCAUCUUUGUCUUGAUUAUUCGUUUUCUGCUUCAUCUCUAUAAUUAAUUUCAAAAGUUAUCUGUUCUUGCUUUGUAUGUACUGUGUUUUCUGUGACCUUUCUCUGCUAUCUGCCAUUGCUGCAUCGCGGCAUUGAGUAAAUCAAAGUUUCUUGUCUAAUUGGUAGCUUUUUUAUCUUGUUUUGUGCAGUGCUCGGUGGAUUGGAAUCCAUGGAUUCUCCAUUGGAAUCGAUGACGUUCAACCUGGGGAAGAGUUGAGUAGGCAAAGGAAAGACGCAAUCCAGUCUGGAUAUGACGACUGCCAUAGCAUAAUUGAGAAUUUUAAUCGAGGAAAUUUGCAACUUAAAGCUGGUCUAGAUGGUGCAAAAACAUUAGAAGCUGGCAUAACAGGGAUUCUUAAUACAAUUCGAGAAGACACUGGGAAGGUGAAUACGUAGCUUAUAUUUCCAGUUAGUAUAUUCAUGUUUUAAGGUAGAAAUGUGAUUUAAUUUACUAAGAUAGGUGUAUGGCCUGAGGUGACACUUUGAUUUGCAAUUAUAUUAUUUUUUUGCGUUCUAGUUUCAUUAGUUUCUUGUUUCAAAGGUGAGUUAUAAAUGUUUCCAAGAUGAGUAACGAGUAAAAAACUCUAUACUGAAGGAAUAUCUUUGACAGUUUAUCUACAUUAAUCAAAUGACAAUGAAUCCUUAAUCUUGUCAUUAUAUUUGUGAUAUACAGGCCUGUAUGGACGGAUUACAUUGGAGAAACAGUCCCUUGAUCAUGUCACAAUGUGGUUCCAAAGGAUCUCCUAUCAAUAUCAGUCAGAUGGUCGCAUGUGUUGGUCAGCAGACAGUUAAUGGUCACCGUGCUCCUGAUGGAUUUAUAGAUCGAAGCCUUCCUCAUUUCCCUAGGAUGUCCAAAUCACCUGCAGUAAGUAUACAGCUUGCCAACCACUCCCCCCGAUUGACUGAUUUAUUUUUGUUCGAAGAUGAUCUGUUAAGUGUUUGUUCUAUUUUCACCUCUCUUGCGUUGCAAUACUCCCCCUAUUUUAACCCCCCUGAGCAAUCUUUAACAUAUUGGAUGCUGCUAGCUCUCCUAAUUACCAGAAAUGUUUUGGAAAAUUUCUUAAGCUAUUAGUUGGAGGUGCUCUGAACAAGUAGAACCAUUUCUCACCACUGAAUAAUUUAUAGUAGGCUUCUUGAGCCUGACCCUAUAGUAGCCUGAUCAAACCAUUUUCCGGUCUGAUUUACUGCUUUGAGAGCUAGGACCUGAUCUCAUGUCUUCUUGGCAUUGCAGGCUAAAGGUUUUGUUGCUAAUUCGUUCUACAGUGGUCUUACUGCCACAGAAUUUUUCUUUCACACUAUGGGUGGACGAGAAGGUCUAGUUGAUACAGCGGUAUGCAUAAAUCCGUCUCUUGUUUUUUCCAUCCUGCUCCACUGUAAAAUAUGAAAAGGUUUUCACUGAAAGAGACAGCCAUGAUGGUUCUCUGUAGGGUGACAGUGUUUUAAUAUCUGGAAUGAAGAUAGUCUUCACCCUUUUGUAACUAUACUCUUGUCUAUUGCAGGUGAAAACUGCCAGUACAGGUUACAUGUCCCGUAGAUUGAUGAAAGCCUUGGAGGAUCUAUUAGUCCAUUAUGACAACACAGUACGAAAUGCCAGCGGAUGUAUACUUCAAUUUACUUAUGGGGAUGAUGGAAUGGACCCAGCACUAAUGGAAGGAAAGGAUGGAGCUCCUUUAAAUUUUAAUAGAUUAUUUCUGAAAAUUCAGGUGCUUUUUUUGGAUAUUUGUAUAUUGGUUGUUUGGUCUCUCUUUAUUUAGAGUUUUAUCACAAUCGGUUGUUGCAUUUGCAGGCUACAUGUCCUCCUCGAUCUCACCACAACUAUCUUUCUUCAGAAGAAUUGUCGCAAAAGUUUGAAGAGGAAUUAGUAAGACAUGAUAAAAAUCGGGUUUGCACUGAUGCCUUUGUGAAAUCUCUUCGAGAUUUUGUUUCCUUGCUCGGAGUUAAGUCUGCAAGCCCGCCCCAGGUUUUAUAUAAAGCAUCUGGUGUGACUGAUAAGCAACUCGAGGUGAGUUUCUUUGUCUUCCUUUUGUAGAAGAAAAAUACUCUGUGCAUUUUGCAUUUCAGUGUUCUUUGUGCGAGUCCUUGAUUAUAUGUACUACAUCUAAUCGACUAAAAAAUUUCACACCUAUUUUCUCCAGCGGUAUAUUUUCUAUAAGCUGAAGAAAAUUUCCCAUUUCUUGUGGUGUUUGGAAAAAAUAUGAAAUAUUACCUCUGAUAUAUAGAAAUAUGCAGGUAUUUGUAAAAAUUUGUGUAUCUCGCUAUCGGGAAAAAAAAAUUGAGGCUGGGACUGCAAUUGGGACAAUAGGAGCUCAGAGUAUUGGAGAACCUGGGACACAAAUGACUCUUAAAACUUUUCACUUUGCCGGAGUUGCGAGCAUGAGUAUCCUUGUUAAAAAUAUGUAUUUUCAGAAUGUCGCUACAAAACUAGUGCUUAUGAGCACAUAUGAGUAGUUUGUUGUUUUGAUUUCCUGAUUCUGGUUCAGAUAUCACACAAGGAGUCCCCCGAAUUAACGAAAUCAUAAAUGCUUCAAAAAAUAUAAGCACACCUGUCAUCUCUGCAGAACUUGAGAACCCCCUGGAAUUGACUAGUGCACGAUGGGUGAAAGGACGCAUCGAAAAAACUACUCUAGGACAGGUUCUCUUUUCCUCCAAAUUUUGAUCUCAAUUAUUUUACCUAUCCAAUCUUUUUGAUAGUUGCUGCUGCUUGUUUUAAGUUCAUAUUGCAGAUGGCAAUUUAUUAAUAACAACUAUUGGAUUGUUGGACCAGGUUGCUGAGAGUAUCGAGGUGCUAAUGACUUCAACAUCAGCGUCAGUGAGAAUAAUUCUUGACAAUAAAAUAAUCGAGGAGGCAUGUUUAUCUAUAAGCCCCUGGUCGGUAAAAAAUUCCAUCCUUAAGACCCCCAGAAUCAAACUGACCGAUAAUGUAAGUUCCUUAGAUUUUAUUGAUGUGUUCAUUGCGGGGCACACAGGUCUUUAGUCUCAUAGCAAUGUAAAUUUUGCAGGAUAUUAGGGUCUUAGAUACGGGAUUGGACAUUACUCCUGUGGUGGAUAAAAGUAGAACUCAUUUUAAUCUCCACAAUCUGAAGAAUGUGCUGCCAAGUAUUAUAGUGAAUGUGAUAUUCGUUAAACCACUCUCUCUCGCAUAUAUACAAAAAAUUUGUACGAUUCUUCAAGUAUAUUUUAUCUUUCACCGACUGAGAGAAUUCUUUCUGUUGAUUUGUUAUUAUAGGGGAUCAAAACAGUUGAGCGAGUUGUUGUCGCGGAGGAUAUGGAUAAAAAUAAACAGAUAGAUGGGAAAAAAAGGUGGAAACUAUUUGUGGAGGGGUAAGUUUUCUUGAGCUUCAAGAGACGAGAUUUCCUCUGUUCUUUUUUCCUUACUGUAAGUGCUAGCUUAGCUGAUAUAACAUGUCUCGUUGGGCAUGAUUUGAUAUGGUGGAUACUUGAUUUUGUCAUUAAGCAGUCUUUGUUUCUGUUUUUUGGUAAGCCACUGAUAUGAUUGUCAGUAUUUCACAUGCUUAAACCAAAAUUUUGAACUAAACGAAAUGCUUUCUAAUACAAAUACAUGUCCAUUUGGAACUCUCAUGAAUAACCAACAGAACUUCGAAGGAUAGUUAUUGACAAAAUUGUGGUGUGAAAGAGAAAAUGUGCUCUCUUUCUAUUUCCCGUUUGAAUAUUUUUCUUGAUAUAUGUUUCAGCACAAACCUCCUGGCUGUUAUGGGAACUCCAGGAAUCAAUGGGAGAACUACUACAAGUAAUAAUGUUGUCGAAGUGAGCAAAACACUGGGAAUCGAAGCUGCAAGGACAACAAUUAUUGAUGAAAUAGGGACAGUAAUGGGAAACCAUGGUAUGAGUAUAGACAUUCGUCACAUGAUGCUUUUGGCUGAUGUCAUGACGUACAGGGUCAGUUCUAAGACACCUGAAUCUGUUAUUAUGAUGUCUAUUCUCUAAUAAUAACUUUUUCUAAUCUUGUCAUAUUAACGAUAAAAAUGUCAUUUCAAUUUCUUGAUCAGGGGGAGGUUCUCGGGAUACAAAGAACCGGGAUUCAGAAGAUGGAUAAAAGUGUGCUGAUGCAGGCAUCUUUUGAGAGGACUGGAGAUCAUUUAUUUAGUGCAGCAAUUAGUGGAAAGGUGGAUAACAUAGAGGGAGUUACAGAAUGUGUGAUUAUGGGCAUACCAAUGAAGCUCGGAACCGGAAUACUCAAAGUCCUCCAAAGGUCAGAUUUCAUUCCUCUUUUUUAAGGUUCAGGUUGCGACUUUUCCUUAUGACAUUACUGGAUUUCUCUUGACUUACUGCAUCCAUGAGCCCUUUUAUGAUAUUGGAAAAUAUGUAAACGUUCAACAUAGGCUUAAGCUUAAUUCGUUAUCCUUUCAUUGUCUUCAUAGAUUCCGGUAUCAAAUACCAUUUUUUCGGUUUGUGCCAUAGCCGUAUAAAUCUCCUCUGUGAAACUAACUAUGUGUUAAUCUUGAUCAACAGGACCGAUGAUCUACCCAAGUUGAAAUAUGGAGCUGAUCCAAUUAUCUCUUGAAAAGACGGAAACAUAGUUUCAUAGCAGUUCACUUUGCAAACUAUAUAAGAUGACAAGCAAUGCAAGAUCAGGCAGAUGAAUGAAAUCAAUUCUUUGGCUCUAACUCAAGCACCCAAUUUGCAUACUAACGGGUAAGCAAAGGCCGGGCAAUAAUCCGCCAAUUUAGAUAAGCCCACGGUUAGGAAAACUUUGCAAGCAUAAUUUAGAUUCAAACUAGAUAUCGGAUUUUUGGUUUACACAAGGGAAAAAUGGUUGGGUGCCCUGACUGUUAUUGACAAAAUAUCCCUGAGCCACUUUCGUUUGAAUCUUUAUAUCUCAGUGAAAGUCACAAAUAGUAACAGUUUACAAAAGAAGAACAAAAAAAAAAAUAUGCUAUUUUGGCUUAGUCAUAGAGUGUAAUCUGCAGCUGCGAUCCAUCUGGCUCUGUCAAGACCUGUCUUAUGAAAGCUCUUCUCCACCACACCUCAAACGCACGUUGAACAUUUGGACAGUCAUCGCCUUUGCUCAGAAACCGAUCAAACCAUUUCAUUAGAAUCACCUGUUGUUGUCUCAGCGACAAGGUCAAUAUGGUCUGGCUGAGUCCAUCUUCCACAAGUUUCCUAUCCAGAGAUCUCGAAGAUAACCGUCUCAUCCACCCAAAAUCAUCAUACAAAGCCUCUAACCAGGUAUUCAAAACCGCAAACCUAGUCUCCCUGUUCACCAAGAUCCUUCCUUUACCUAUACCAACACAUAUCUGCGCGGUGAUCUUGCUUAUUUCGUGUCUGUACAUUGUUGGGAUCUUGGAAUGAAGAUUCGCAAGCUCCUUUUGAUCCGCCCAUAGUUUCACAAACUCAUCACACAUUUUCUUCUCAAUCAAGAUAUCUACCAUCCAUAGCAUGUUCUCGGCUUCUCUGGCGAUUUCUCCCAUCAAAGCACCACGGUCUUUCCCCGGAUCAUUCAUUUGUGUAGUCACUUCAGAUAAGCAAAGCACAAGAGAUGUGAGACAUCUAUGGCACAAACCGUAGAGUGUGUCUUUAGAGACAUCAUAAUCAGCUUCUUCCCUAAUCAACUUAAAGAUCAAAACUUUCAUCUCUCGCCGAGCUUUAUCAUCUUUGGCUUGUAGAACACCAGUGAGAAGCUUCAAGAAGAUAUCAUCGGUUCUCGUUCUCGUCGAGGAAGUCGAAGGUUCAGAUGAAACUCUCUGAAGAAUCAAAGUGACCGAAUCAGCAGGAAGAUGAAGCUCUUCAAGGCAAGACACAACAAUCUCUUCUUCAUCUUCUGACCAAGGAGCAGCUUCCAAAUGCUGCAAACAAGACUCUACUCCUUCAUCAAACAUUAUAGCUGCAGAAACCUAUACAAAAAAAAAAAAGAGAUUCACCAUCCAUCACAAAAUCAAAGCAAACAAACCAAAAAACAAUCUUAUCAAAAUCAAGAUGGAACAAAAUACCUUAAGUAAAGCCAAGAUUUUGAUGACAUUUUCACCGAUCAACUUCUUCUUGAGAUCAUCACUAUACAUCAAAACCACAGUCUCAACAUAAAUCUCCAACUCAUCACACUCGCUUAUCUCCACCAUGUGAGAAACCCCUUUCUCUCUUCUAGAAUUCAUCUUCUCCAUGAAAAACCUGCUCUUCUCCGACAAAACCUUCCGAUGAACAUCCAUGGUGACUCUGUAACCGUCUUUUCCCACCACAGUCAGCUUAACGUCGCUUGGCCCGAGGCUGUGGCCGUAAACGACGCCGUUCUUGAACUCGGUCAAGAUUUGAGCCACGCGCGCGUGAGAUUUCCUCCGUGGUGGCGGCUCGCGGUUGUGCUCAUCGGACAUCAUAUCAAAAAGAGUCGGGUUGGAGUGGGUCGAUUCGUUAGGCGGAGGAGGCGGCGGAGGAGGAGGAGGGGAGGCGGUGGAGAAUUUAACGGGAGAUGUGAUUCUUGACGGAGAAAACGAGAGAGAAGGGUCAGCGAUAAACCCUUGUUUGAUCAUCGUUGAUACUUCUCUUGACGCCAUUGAAGAAAGAAAAAAUUCUCAAACUUUCUCGAGCAAGAAAAUUCCCGCGGGAAAAAUUUAGCAAAGUGACUGAGUGAAGAAAAACAAAAAAUAUAAUCUCAAAAAGAAACAAGAAAAAGAGGUAAAUGGGGGAAACCACAAAAUCUUGUCGACUUUAAGAAGAAGUUUAAAGAGAAGACAAAGAAGAUUGUGAAAAAAUUUGUUUUUCUUGGGAAAACAAAACAAAGGUGCAGAUAUGUUUUAUGUUUAUAUAUAUGUAUCCCCACAAGAAAAAUGAAAUUGGGAGAAUCAGAAUCCAAGAAAAUGAUAGGACUUUGGAUCUGUGAAUAGAAAUACAAAUACAAUUGCAAUGGCGAGUGAGUGAGUGAGUGAGUAAGAGAAAAAAAAUGAUUAUAAAAAAUAAAAUAAAAAGUUACUUGUUUUAUGUAUCUUUUUACAGAUAGACAGAUAGAUAGAUCAUUGCCUCCAUGUGCUCUCAAAUUACAUACAUUGAGAAAAUUUAAAUAUUUUCAUAUAUCAUAUAGUUGGAAUUCGAGAUAAACUCAAAGACCAAAGGUAACAAACUUUUACGGUUGAAAUUUGUCAUUUAGUAAAUAUAUCAUUUCAUUCAUAUUUUCGAUUUUACAUUUUUUUUAUUAUCCCAUCUGAGAGAGAGAGGGGUACACAUGGAUUUGAAAGCUGAGGGACAAAUCUAUAUAAAUCAUCUGUUCAUACUGUUAGAAUUAUGCGUUUGUUUGAUCAAAAGAUUUUUAUCU